GUCCUGCUUGAGCGCCAAUUCUGUUUGCCCCUUCCUUAGAAGCACACCUUUUCAUUUGGCUGUUGUCUUCCAUGCUUAGUUAAGUUUAAUGCAAGCACAUUGAACAUUUUGAUGGCUAAACCCGGCAGUUGUUAGUAUAAAAACCUUUGCGUCAAGCUGAUCUCUUUUGGCGUCAUCAAGCAAGGGAGUGUAGUGCUCCAAUUCAGCAAAUCAAAAUGGACUCCAAUAUUUCCAGCAAAUGUAGCAAGCUUGUGGUCGCUGCCAUUGACAUCGGGACCGCAUAUUCCGGAUAUGCAUUCUCUUUCCAAAGUACAUGGAAUAAAGUAAUGACACCCUUUUGGCAAGUAAGACAGUCAAUUACUAAUAAGACUCCUACAUGUCUGCUCCUGAGAAAGGACUACUCGGUAGUUUUGUUUGGAUAUGAAGCUGAAGACGAAUAUUCAUAUAUAAAAGAGGAUAACAAGCAUGAAGACUAUUAUUUUUUUCAAGGGUUUAAAGUGAUUCUUCAUGAGGAAGUAAGUAUAAGAGUGAACUUCAUGGGGAUGUAAGUAUAUGAGUGAAUUUUGAUCUAAAACGAUCUAUAUAUACAGCUCUGUAGCUAAUUCUACAAAGCAAAGGAUGACACAUUACAGAUUAAUAUUGUGUUUCGACAUCCCAGAGUAGCACCUUUAAUGUUUAAUUUGUGUUUGUAGCAGAAAUACUAGUAACAUAUUUUUGAUAUUUAUAAAUAUAAAUAAAUAUCUAGAUUCCUUUGUAUUAUUUAUAAUCGAUUCGAUAUAUCCAAGUGAACACGAAAUAAAAGACAACACAUAGUCUUCCAAAUCUGCUUCAUAUUUGGAUAGUUUAUUGAACAUACACAUUAACGGAAAAAUAGAAGCUCAACUUUGUGACAAAGGGAAUGAUAUCCGCUUCUCCAUCGUCGACUUCCCAUAUUUUUGUAGGAAUAUUACAUUAUCACCUGCAUAUUAUAACUGUCAAAUGAUUCGAUACGCGGAAGCAUAUUCUGCAUAUUAUCAAUUUUUAAACUGAAACAAAUAAGUUGAUGUUAAAGGGGCUUCAACUGUUUCGCUCAAAGUUAGCAGUAUGCAAAUUCUGUGCUCAUUACAAUGCUAAUACAGUCUGUCAUUAGGUCAAAUGCUUUUGGGGUAUUUGUACCAGCUGUUAGGACUAUUCACGAUAGCUGGUGACGUCUCAAUAUGAGUGAAAAUUCUCGACGAGAAGUAAAUCAAACAAAAACGAAAUCAAACUAAAUCAAACAACAAACUGUUUGGCAGUUCUUUACAUAUUGAUUUUAACUGCGGUUUACUCCAUUUAUCUGAUCAAGAUAUAGGGCUCGUGACAGGUGUGACCGGUCAACAGGGAAUUAAUUGUUACGUCUAGCCACAUUAUCCCACCUCUGAUGUUUCUAGGGAUCCGUUUGGCCCUACUCUCAAUUUCGUAUUCUUUAUAGGAUCUAUGAAAUUGAUCAUUGUUCGUUAUUUUCACCUUUUCAUCAAAAGUCCCCUUUUUCUAUCUGUAUGGAACAUCAUAUCUGCCGUAAGGUCAAGUUCUUGGUACAGACAUUACAUUAAAGUGAAUUUUCUUUUGGCAUUUAUAACAAUAUUUCUGGACAGUUUCUUAGCUCAUUUUUUCACAUUUUGUUUUGUCCUUGUUUUUGAACACAAACCUCUUUUGGUGCCACAAGUCCACAACUCUGUUUGUGAAACCUUACAUUCUGACAUCCGCAGUACGACUAUAUUUUGUCAUUUUUAUUGCGUUUACUUGGAUUAUGUUGAAAUAGAUCCUUGCAUGGUCUACUUUGUGUCAUAAAUUCCAUUGGGUAUCUUUCAAUCAGUUUCAAUUAAUCCUUGACUAGAUUAAAUUAACUUAAUUUUUUUAACUAUUUAAGUAACUAAGACGUAGAGAAACUUCUAGAAAUUAAAUGUAUGCUAUCACAAAUACAAUGUACAAAUCUUAAAAGCAUAAUAUGCUAGUUUGACUAGAGAAGUUGUUUAACCACUCAAUGACUUUAUUUCCAAGAUUGCAGCAAAUCAUUGGGAAUAAUCAAACGAAAACCCACAUGCUUUCUAAUUAGGGCCCCACAUGAAAUGCGGGAGUCCCUAUAGUAAUCACAUUGUCCGUCCGUCUGUCCGUCAACACUUUCUUUGUGACACGAUAACUUAAACAGUUUUUAUCGUACAGUUUUCAAAUUUUGUACAGAAAAAAUUUACAAUAAGAGGAAGACACCUAUACAUUUUGUGAUCAUGUCAAUUUGACUGUCCGUUUGUAUGUCAUCAUCUUUCUUAUUAUGACUGUAUCUAUUUACCACUGUCUAAGGGAGAUAAUUCAAUUUGAAUUACGAUAUGUAUUGUAUUGAUAUGAAAAAUUCACCCCCCAAAAAAAUAACUCUACAACAUUGUGUAUGUGUAUAUCUUUGGGUUUUUUAAAUGUGAUAUAAAAAAUGCUUGAUGUUACAUGUAUAUUUAAUUAACACGUCAUUCCCAGUCAACAACUCUCGAUUGGGAUCGGAAUACGAAAUUAAAUUUCUUAUAUCCGGUUGCAAAGUGAAACUGCUUCGUACCAUAUUUUGUACCAUUUAUCCAUUUUGAAUCCCCUAUUACAAUGGGAUUUAGUUGCACUUUUGUUGUGUUUGAGUGGAUGAGUGUGUGUCAAACAGAAGUAAUUUAAAUUUUCAUCAGUCUCUCAUAAAUAUGCUUCAUGAUUCCUUUUUCACAAAUUUGCAUUCCAAUGUAUCUUUGAAUAUUAUUAAUUCUAACAUAUUUACCAGCCCCAAACAUUGCUAUAUCAAAUACAGAUGUCACUUUCCUCUAAUAACCCUCAGCGGGGCCCUUGCUAACCGUGUCAGUUUUCUGGUUAUAAUUUAUAUUCAUUCAUUCUCUUUAAUAUAGUCUGUAAAUCGGCAUAUGUUAUGCCAGGCACAUGACGGCAGAAGUCUGGAGGCUAGUGUGGUUUUUAUGCACUGCAUCAGAUACCUAAAAAGUCACUUCUAUGCAAAACUACAGACCGCGUGUAUAGACAUAAAGGACGAUGACAUUCAGUAUGUGUUGACUGUGCCAGCGAUAUGGGGAGACAAAGCCAAGGUGUUCAUGAGGGAAGCUGCAAUUGAGGUUGGUAAUCGGGCGGUGAAGGACAUGUAUGUAUAUAUACUACUCAAAAUUUAGUUUAUGCUUUUACUACCAUUGCACGAUUUUCACUCAGGCAUCGGUGUCUGAUUCUUUCUAAAAUUUCAAACUCACUUGAGUGUUUACACUACGUUUAUCAACACAAUGCCCCCUCAACGCGUAAGGCGUCGCCUGACGACAGAACAACUGGGCAGAUAUAUUGGAAUGCUUGACGCUGGCUAUUCACAGCGUGACGUUGCAAAUGCAUUAAACGUCAGCAAGAGCGUUGUAAACAGGGCCUGGAACCGACAGCAAACUUUUGGUACAGCAGCACACCGACAUGGGGGUGGUCGUCAGAGGUCGACAACCCAACGUCAAGACCAUUUUGUGGCUCUUCAGGCACGACGCCAUCCCUUCCGGACAGCAACUAGCCUACGUAACGACCUCCUGAACGCCUCGGGGGUGAAUGUGUCCACUCAGACGAUACGGAAUCGGCUUCACAAUGCAGGUCUCAACUCGAGAAGGGCAUGUGUUCGAGUCCUUCUGACUGUUCGACACCGGCGGGAGCGAUUGGACUGGGCUGAAGAUCAUGUCACUUGGACACAGAACGAUUGGGUUCAAGUUCUGUUCACCGAUGAGUCCAAGUAUUGUUUGGACUUUACAGACAGGAGGCACCGAGUGUGGCGACGACAACGUGAACGUUUCCAUGAUGCCAACAUCAGUGAACAUGACCGUUAUGGUGGUGGUUCUAUCAUGGUCUGGGGUGGAAUCAGCAGGGAUGGAAGAACAGAUCUUCAUGUCCUGGAGAGAGGAACAAUGACGGGGUGUGGUACCGGGAUGAGAUCCUCGAUGUUUACGUCAGACCCUACGCUGGUGCUGUUGGCCCUGAGUUCAUCCUGGUGGAUGAUAACGCCCGUCCUCAUCGCGCCAGGGUGGUGGAGCAGUACCUUCAGCAGGAGACAAUUGUCCGUAUGCACCGGCCAGCGCUCUUGCCGGACUUGAACCCGAUUGAGCAUGUAUGGAACAUGCUGCAGGUUGCCCUUUCACGCCGUGGAGCACAACCCACGACUUUGGCAGAGCUCGGAAACGCCCUCGUGGAAGAGUGGAACAACCUUCCCAUUGGAAACAUCCGGGUGCUUAUUGACAGGAUGGCUCGACGUUGUCAAGCCGUCAUUGAUGCAAGGGGAGGCCAUACCCGGUAUUGACACUUCAUCGACUAAGUGUAAUGAUGGACUAUCCCCAAAAACUGUGUAAUUCUUUCUCUGGUUUGCUGUUAACUUUUUGUAAUGAAAUGCCUUUUGGUGUUGUUAUCAGAUUUCAAGCAUUCCGUAUUGAUAAAAGUUCAUGCCGUUCAUGAGUUUUCAUUCAUAACCUGAGUAAACACGUUUCUGAGUAAAAUUGAUGUCUUUUGUUAUGUUAGUGGUAAAUUACACACAUAUAACCUAGUGAUCCUUAUCAAAUUUUGAGUAGUAUAUAUAUCCAAGAACAAAAGCAUUGAAAACAAACUUUAUGAUAGUACCUGCAAUACACUUAGCCGUAAAAAUCUUGAUAUAAAUGUAAAGAGUUUCGUCUCUCUGGACCAGCAUCAUAUACCAAGAUUGAAAUGCAACUCAAGUGAGCUGUUCUGAUCACAUUUUGUCUGGCGUCAGUCCGUCCGUAUACUUUUAACAUUUUCGACGUCUUCUCAAGAACCGCAAGGCUAAUUUCAGCCAAACUUGCCACAAAGCAUGCUUGGGUUUUGUUCAAAUGAAGUGUUGCAUCCUUUUUGAAGUGGAGAUGAUUAAGAAUUAGUAAAUAAUUUUGUGGCAUCGUUAACAUAUCUUCUUCUCGAGAACCAUCAGAUCAAUUUCAAUCAAACUUGGCACAAAUCAUCCUUGAGUGAAUGGGAUUCAAGUUAAUUCAAAUGAAGGGCCAUGCUCAUUUCAAAGGGGAAAUAAUCAAGGAAAUGCAAAAAUAGGGUGGGGUAAUUAAACAAAUCUUCUCAAGAACCACUGGAUCAAAAAUGUUGAAUAUUGCAUAAAAGCUUCCUGACACAGUGUAAAUUUCAGUUUGUUCAAAUCAUGUCUCCCGGGGUAGGAUAGGGCCACAGCAAGGGAUCAAUAUUUACGCGGGGAUAUAUAAGAUAAAUCUUUACAAAUCUUCACAAGAACAAUAGGGUUAUGAUUAAUCAUUGAUAUGCAAACAUCCCCAGGUAGUACAGAUUCAUAUUUGUUCAAAUUGUGGUCCCAGGGGGUAGGAUGAAGUCAUUAUAGGGGAUAAAAGUUUUGUAUAGAAAUAUAUAGGGAAAAUCUUCUCAAUAACAAUACUGCCAUGAAUAUUCAUAUUAAUAUGCAAGUAUUCCCAGGUAGUGUAGAUUGAAGUUAAAAUAGUGACUCCGGGGUAGGAUGGGGUCAUAUCUAAGUCUUAUAUGGGAAUAGGGAAACGUUUUUAAAAAUCUUCUCAAGAACAGCAGAUCAAUGAUUAGUCAUAUUGACAUGUAAGCAUUUUCAAGUAGUGUAAGUUUGUUCAAUUCAGGAGCUCCAGGAAUAGGGAGGGGGGGGGGCAUAAUAGAAGAUCAAAGUCUGAUAUGGGAUUAUACAUGAAUUAAGGAGGCGAGAUCAAAAGGUCGAUGUCGGAUAAAAAUCUAAAUUCAAAUAGUUAGGGGGAGGGAGGGUAAAAAUUCCAGUAAGUUUCUAUCAUACGACAUAGAUUAAUUUUUUUGUGAAAAAAGAAAAACGACAAAUGACUGUUAAAAACCACAGUAAUAUUACAUUUAAUAGUUUUAAUGUACACUUUCAUUUGUGAACAAACAGUAGAAAGGGUAUACAGAGUGUUAUUUAUACAGGUAUGUUUUUACAUGUUCGAUUAAUUUCAACAUUAAUUCCAGAUGCAGAAAUGAACGUGACAAAUAGUAUAAAUUACAAAACUUUAAUGAAAAACAUGAAUAUUACAAUUUUUUGUGGCGAUUAUGUGUCACAAUCCACUUAUAUAAUCUAUAAGUUCCCCAGGCGGAAACCAGAGAAUCAACAAGUGUCUCCAUCAACUGGCAAAAGGCGCACCCACGGGUGACCGUGAUGAGCGAGACCUCCUGGUACCAUAACAAGAGAGAAUACCACAUGUGAAAAGGAAAUCAAGUAUUGGCUCAGGUCCUCACUAUCCUGCCUCCCCGGGUACCAUAUACAGGGAUAAGCCCAAAAAUUGCCCUUGGUACCACAAGGGUCAAGCCGGCCCCUAAGGUAAACUCCCCCCAGUAAUGAGGAUGGAAUACAGAGUUUAGAGCCAGACAUUUAAGCGAGAUUCUGAUUCGUGGUAAUUCCCGAGUUCCGCCUACCCCCUUCCCAGAUUGUGACUUCAGAACAAAUUAAAAUCUUUACCAAAAUCCCCACUGUCAAUGUUAAACACAUAAUGCAAUUAGCAAAUGAUCCGGGUUAGAAUAGGUCCUCAGUACCCCUUGCUUGUCGUAGGAGGUAACUAAAUGGGGCAGUCCUUCGGAUGAGACCGCAAAAACCGAGGCCCCGUGUCACAGCAGGUGUGGCACGAUAAAGAUCCCUCCCUGCUCAAAGGCCGUAAGCGCCGAGCAUAAGCCUAAAUUUUGCAGCCCUUCACCGGCAGUGGUGACGUCUCCAUAUGAGUGAAAUAUUCUCGAGAGGGACGUUAAACAAUAUUUAAUCAAUCAAUCACAAGUUUAUGGCGUUCUCCUUGAUCAAGCGUGAAACCGUCAAUGAUUGAAUCGGGUUCGGUUCAGGCUUUGAUUGCACAGGCAAUGCGCUUUAUAUUCUUAGUCUUAAAUACGUUUGCGGCUAAAGCUUUAAGGUUAACAAGGCUGCAAGAGUUACCGCGCCUGCCCCAGAAUUAAAUACAAUUGUUGAUAAAUGCCAUUAAUUUCAACAUUCAUCAUAUUUAGUUUUAGGGGGGUCUUGGUGAAAACUAUGUGAAUUUAGUUUUUUUUUUAUUUUUUGCGUUAUAAAGCAUAACUUUCGUGUUAUAACGCGAAGCUUUUGCGAAUUAACGCGUAACUUUCGCGAAUAAAUGCGUAGCUUCGCGUUAUAACGCGAAAAUCAUCCAUUAUAACGCGAAACGUUUACGUUUGCUUACAAACACGAAUUUAUGGAUUGAAUGCGUAUGAAGUCAUUUGUUCAUUACAAUAAAGAAAAAUAACGAUAGACUUGUCCAGCUGUAGAUUGUAAUUUUGUAUAUAUAUGUAUAUCUCUUGUCUUGAUAUAAUUUGACUGUUUUAAGAAGAUCAUCUUAUUGACCUUUGAUUCUGUUGUUUAUAAUUUAUGAUACAAGUAGUUGAGACUUGGAACUAGUUCAAAUGUUGUAAUUUAUUAAUUUGGUUGAUAUAUUUUUUUCCAAACAGAACACCGAUUCUACAAAAAAGUUUGAAUUUAUUAACACGAAAUUUUGCAUAAAAAUUCAGUAUUUUUGUCAAUAAAUCAAUAAAUCUCUAACCCUCACUUUUUUAUUUCCAAGACAUUGACAAUUAUGUGAAAUUUUAGAAAAUGACAUUACUCCUACAUUGUAAUAUGUCCUUUUAAACUCUCAAAAUUCAUAUCGUGAAUUUUUUCGUAUUUCAAGUGCAAAAAGGUCGUCAUUAUUUAUUUCCAUUACUAGUAUUAAACUUUUUUUUAUCUGUAUUGUUUCCAUGACUAAAGUCGGGGGUGUUAUUGUUUUGUCCUGCCUGUCUGAAACUUAAAUCAUGCUCAUAACUUUUGAAUGGUGAGUGAUAGGGCUCUCAAUUUUCAUAUUUUUAUUCCUUGGGUCAAGACCUUUCUUUUCGUAUCAAAGUUUUUUUGACCUUGUGACCUUGACCUUUGAGUUUGACCUACUUUUAAGAAAGCCAUAUCUAGACAAUAUCCCUGAACUAUUUAAGGUAGGGUUUUUUACUUAGUGUAAAGAUUCCUUAUGGCAAGGAAUAUCAUUUGAUGCCAUGGUGUUUGACCAUGUGACCUUGAAGUUUGACCCAAAUUAGAAUUUUUACCAAAACUUUAACCUUCCUCAUGAUUUUGAAUGGCGAGUAAUACAUUUUUCAUGUUUGCGUUCCUUGUGACAAGACCUUUCUUUUGGUACCAAAAUCUUUGACCUUGUAACAUUGACCCUGGAUUUUGAUCUACUUCUAAGAACAUUUAACCUAGGUAAUAUCUUGUGAAAAGAUCCUUAUGGCAAGACCUUACAUUUCAACCAUGAUUUUUUUUAUCUUGUGACCUUGUUAUAAUGAUUAUAUCGUGACCCUAUGGGGCUAGAUUGGGGUCAUAUUAUGGGUUCAAAAUUUUUCAUGGAAAUGAAGAUUGCAGAAAAAUCUUUUGAAAAUCGUAAUAGCUGAAAAACAGCAGGACCAAGGUGACUCGUGUGAGCGAUGUGGUCCAUGGGCCUCUUGUUGUAUUUUCACAGGCAGGGAUUAAAAACGAGCAUUUGAUCAUAGCGCUGGAACCAGAGGCGGCAUCUAUCUACUGCCAGUACUUACACAUCGCUAAAGAAGACACGUCAUCUGCGGUUUUGGGAGUCGUCAAACCUGGCACAAAGUUCAUGGUGGUUGACCUCGGAACCCCGUUGAGUUCAAGUAUUGCUAAAGAAGUUAUAAAAUCUUCUGCUGAUUUUAUACAAAUGAUUUCAGAUAUUUCUGUUUAAAUUCUAGAAACAUUUUAGAGCCAAUGAGGCCUUCAAUCUACUCCUUUUCUCCUCCUGGAGAAUAGGGCCUCUAACACGCAUUUUCCAGUUUUUCCUAUCUUGCGCAGCUCUUGCUGUUUCAGUCCAGUUUGUAAACCCUAGCUGUAGAAAAGACCGCUAUAUUGAUCUUGAGCAUGCAUCAAAUCAGAGCAAACUCUCUUAUUUGCAAACAUCACACAUGUUUAUCAUUCUGGGGAAAAACACUAAAGAAAUCAUAUAAAAUAAAUGAAAGCUUGUACUACUCUUAAUGGAAAUCAUACUUCAUAAGAAAUGUUUUAACAAGCCAUUAAAUAACAUUUUGUUGUAACGAUCGAUCUUAAUUCUAUAAGGGUGUUUCAAUCAGUCGAUGGUCUUUUCUGUAUAGACGAGUGAUCAUAAAAGUUGAAUGCUUUACUAAAAAUCACUAUUUGUAUACCAGAUUUCAUUUACAGGUGGCACAGCGCAUAUAACGGUUCAUCAGAAAAGCGCAGACAGCAAUUCGGAAAAAAUUCUUAUGGCAAGUUGGGGACCAUGGGGAGGAAAAUAUGUGAAUGAUAUGUUCAUGACAUUUUUGACGGAAUUGGUGGGAGAAAGAGUUAUAAAAGAUUUCAAGGAAGAAUGCAUGGAAGGUUAUCUUGAUAUGACGAGAUAUUUUGAGGCAAAGAAAAGAAAAGCAAAUUCCUAUAGGGAUGGAAGUACAUCAAUUCCGAUACCAAUGCCCUUUAUCCACUUAUGCGAAAAACUACACAAUGUCAUAGAUUUCAGAGAGGUUAUUGACAAAAAUGAAUUACACAGAAAUAAUGUGAAAUACACUGCAGGAAAACUUAAAUGGGAAAACAAAUAUUUUAGGGGUUUUUUCAAGAAAACUAUUGACAGCAUUGUCAAACAUAUUGACGAGUUGUUCGAAGAGGACGUUGGUAGAGAUGUAGACAUCAUCGUUAUGGUCGGAGGCCUUUCAGAAUGUCAUCUGGUCCAGGACGCAAUCAAAAAGAACUUCGAGCAGAAAACUGUCAUUGUGCCAGAGGAGGCGGGAUUAGCGGUAGUCAAGGGUGCCGUGUAUCUCGGUCACCUCUCUGAUGACAUCCCGCGUACUACACUUUCAUAAAUUGACACAUCCCCUUGUGACCAAAACCUAAGACCUGAUUUCCCCACAAAAGGAACUAAAUGUACAAUAAACAUAGGAUGGUUUAAUUUGUUGCUAUGACUGACAACUCUUUGAACAAGUGUUGUGUAUUCUGACUAACGUAUGUAAAUAUAAGUGUUGAUUAUUUUAUGAAUUUAAACAAUACUAGUAAGUAUCUACUUUAUCAUUCUUCAUAUAUUUUCUCAAUCGUAUUACACACGUGUGUUUACUGCUGUAGUGACACUUAAAACUUUACGCUUAAACUAAUCCAAAUAUUUAUGACAAUUAUUCACUAAUAUAGAAGUUCAUUUCUUUUUUCUAAUUCACUUUAGAUUUUGCAAUCGAUCCCAUUGAAAUUAUUUAUUGAUUAAAAGUUAGAUGUU